UGGUUACUUUCGCGAAUUUGUAGUUUAACGAUAUAGAAGAAUCUAAAUUUAUUCAAAUUUUGAUAAAAAAAUAUUUUAAACUAUCUAGAUCAAGAUCAACAUUCUUGAUCUUGAAUUCAGAAGCCCUAUAUUCAAAUUUUAAAGAUUGUUCAAUUUUCACUGUUCAUUUUGGCGUGAUUUACUUACUAAGUAAACGAUGUCAAAAAAAAUAAAAAUUUUAUUUCUAAGAACUUCAUGUACUCUAGAUUAUAUUUGUUGGCGUGGAUCGUUGAUUUGAAUACCCUAAGAUCGAAAAUAAGACUAUAGUUUCGAAGCACCGGUAUUAUAGGCCCUAAACCUUAAACCCUACAUACAUACAUACAUACAUACAUACCGUUAUAUAUAGAAUUAGGCUACUAUACUAUCUAUAGUACCGGAGCUCCGGUACUAUAGUCUUGUUUUCGAUCUUAAGGUGUUCACAUUAACGAUCAACACCGUUAAAUAUGAUCUAGGGUAUAUAAAGUUCUUAGAAAUAAAAUUUUAGUUUUUUUCGACAUCGUUUACUUAGUAAAUAAAUUAUGUCAAAAUGGAUGGUGGAAAUUGAAUAAUCUUUAAAAUUGGAGUAUAGGACUUUUAAAUUCAAGAUCAAGAAAGUUAAUCUUAAUCUAAAUAGUUUAAAGUAUUUUCUAUCAAAAUUUGAAGAAAUUUAGAUUCUUCUACACCGUUAAACUCCAAACUGGCCAUAGUAGCCAUUGAAAAUUGACAAUUUUCAAAUGCUUUGAUCAUAAAGUAAACUAUGUAGAAAAAAUA
rnacentral:lncRNA from 1 species